rnacentral:rRNA from 1 species
AUUGAACGCUGGCGGCAUGCCUUACACAUGCAAGUCGAACGGCAGCGCGGGAGCAAUCCUGGCGGCGAGUGGCGAACGGGUGAGUAACACGUGGGUGACCUGCCCUCAGCUCUGGGAUAAGCCCGGGAAACUGGGUCUAAUACCGGAUAUGACUUCAUGACGCAUGUUGUGGAGUGGAAAGCCUUGUGCGGCUGAGGAUGGGCCCGCGGCCUAUCAGCUUGUUGGUGGGUGAUGGCCUACCAAGGCGACGACGGGUAGCCGGCCUGAGAGGGCGACCGGCCACACUGGGACUGAGAUACGGCCCAGACUCCUACGGGAGGCAGCAGUGGGAAUCUUGCGCAAUGGGCGAAAGCCUGACGCAGCGACGCCGCGUGAGGGAUGACGGCCUGGUUGU